rnacentral:rRNA from 1 species
AGCUCCAGUAGCGUAUAUUAAAGUUGUUGCAGUUAAAAAGCUCGUAGUUGGAUUUCUGGUACGUUGCGCCCGGCCCGCCCGCUUCGAGCGUGGUGUGUGCUGGAGCGCGAUUGCCAUCCUUCUAGAGAACGUUUCUACCCUUCGCUGGGCUGGAUUCGCAAUCUAGAUCUUUUACUUUGAAAAAAUUAGAGUGUUUAAAGCAGGCAUUUGCCAUGAAUACAUUAGCAUGGAAUAAUAAUAUAGGACUUUGGUUCUAUUUUGUUGGUUUCUAGGACUAAAGUAAUGAUUGAUAGGGAUAGUUGGGGGUGCUCGUAUUUAGCGGCCAGAGGUGAAAUUCUUGGAUUCGCUAAAGACGAACUUAUGCGAAAGCAUUCACCAAGGAUGUCUUCUUUAAUCAAGA